ensembl:snoRNA Gm24902 predicted gene, 24902
CUUGCCCGUAGAAGCAUUGCAGAUUGUGCCCCAUUUGUUUCAGCAGUUGGCAACGAGGCAAGAAGCUAUGUCUAUGCUAAACAUUGCAUCUACAAACAUUUGAAUGAUUAGUAGCCUAAUAUU